GACGAACGCUGGCGGCGUGCUUAACACAUGCAAGUCGAACGGAAAGGCCCCCUUGUGGGGUACUCGAGUGGCGAACGGGUGAGUAACACGUGAGUAACCUACCCUUGACUUUGGGAUAACUUCAGGAAACUGGGGCUAAUACCGGAUAGGAGCUCCUGCUGCAUGGUGGGGGUUGAAAAGUUUCGGCGGUUGGGGAUGGACUCGCGGCUUAUCAGCUUGUUGGUGGGGUAGUGGCUCACCAAGGCUUUGACGGGUAGCCGGCCUGAGAGGGUGACCGGCCACAUUGGGACUGAGAUACGGCCCAGACUCCUACGGGAGGCAGCAGUGGGGAAUAUUGCACAAUGGGCGGAAGCCUGAUGCAGCAACGCCGCGUGCGGGAUGACGGCCUUCGGGUUGUAAACCGCUUUCGCCUGUGACGAAGCGUGAGUGACGGUAAUGGGUAAAGAAGCACCGGCUAACUACGUG
rnacentral:rRNA from 1 species